UACGAAGGGGGGCUAGCGUUGUUCGGAAUCACUGGGCGUAAAGCGCACGUAGGCGGCUUCUCAAGUCAGGGGUGAAAUCCUGGAGCUCAACUCCAGAACUGCCUUUGAUACUGAGGGGCUCGAGUCCGGGAGAGGUGAGUGGAACUGCGAGUGUAGAGGUGAAAUUCGUAGAUAUUCGCAAGAACACCAGUGGCGAAGGCGGCUCACUGGCCCGGUACUGACGCUGAGGUGCGAAAGCGUGGGGAGCAAACAGG
rnacentral:rRNA from 1 species